rnacentral:rRNA from 1 species
GAUGAACGCUAGCUACAUGCUUAACACAUGCAAGUCGCGGGGCAGCAUGGGGGUUGCUUGCAAUCCCUGAUGGCGACCGGCGCACGGGUGAGUAACGCUUAUCCAACCUGCCCUUCACCACGGCAUAACCCGGCGAAAGUCGGACUAAUACCGUAUGUUGUCCAUUGACGGCAUCCGGUUUGGUCGGAAAGCUUAGCGGUUAGGGGUGGGGAUGCGUACCAUUAGCUUGACGGCCGGGUAACGGACCACGGUGGCUACGAUCGGUAGGGGUUCUGAGAGGAAGGUCCGCCACACUGGAACUGAGACACGGUCCAGACUCCUACGGGAGGCAGCAGUGAGGAAGAUUGGUCAAUGGGCGUAAGCCUGAACCAGCCAAGUAGCGUGCAGGAUGACGGCCCUAUGGGUUGUAAACUGCUUUUAUGCGGGGAUAAAGGGACCCACGUGUGGGUUUUUGCAGGUACCGCAUGAAUCAGGACCGGCUAAUUCCGUG